CACUGCGCAGUUCCGCUAUAUUCCAUUACUCCUUCUCCUUCUCCACGGGAAUAAUCCAGAUCAUCUGGGAAAGCGAACCCACUCUUAUAAAGAGGAAAACCAUGCUGUGCUGAUUAAUAAUGAGCGGACUUUGCUACCUGUGGGAAAAGCUGGCUGGCUGCUGCAGACCCACAGGAAGUCCAGUCACAAACACAGGAUGACACAGUAACCAGCAGCAAGUGUUGUCAGCAUGGGAAAACCCCCCGCCAAGCCAGCAAUCACCACCAGCCAGUACACUGCCUGUUG